CUUUUACGUCGGAACUUGGGAGCAGAUCAUAGCUGCUAGGUUAAGAAAUUGAUUCUCCCGCAGAAACAAUGGAUUUCGGUGUAGCGGAACUGUUACGUGGAGAUGCUAAGGUAAUUGUUGAGAGCUUAGUUUUAAGUUGAAGGAAUAAACCUGUUGAUUUACAGGUUGAUCAACCUGUAAAGAUGAUGCAUCAUUUGUAUUUUUGUUUUUUAACAGCAUUCUGCAGGUUGAUGAAUACUAAUGAAGCUGUGGAUGUCACUGAGCAGCUUCAUUUUAAAGUAAGUUACCCUGACUUACAUCUGCUGCAGUAAUUCUGUCUGGUUUGUGGUAAAUGUCCGUGUAAUGUAGCAUAAUGGAUUUUGGUCUGAUCAAUGAUGAACCCUAUCCCGAAGCUGAUAACCUGAAGAAAA
rnacentral:lncRNA from 1 species